rnacentral:rRNA from 1 species
AAAUUGAAGAGUUUGAUCAUGGCUCAGAUUGAAUGCUGGCGGCAGGCCUAACACAUGCAAGUCGAACGGUAACAGGAAACAGCUUGCUGUUUCGCUGACGAGUGGCGGACGGGUGAGUAAUGUCUGGGAAACUGCCUGAUGGAGGGGGAUAACUACUGGAAACGGUAGCUAAUACCGCAUAACGUCGCAAGACCAAAGAGGGGGACCUUCGGGCCUCUUGCCAUCGGAUGUGCCCAGAUGGGAUUAGCUUGUUGGUGGGGUAACGGCUCACCAAGGCGACGAUCCCUAGCUGGUCUGAGAGGAUGACCAGCCACACUGGAACUGAGACACGGUCCAGACUCCUACGGGAGGCAGCAGUGGGGAAUAUUGCACAAUGGGCGCAAGCCUGAUGCAGCCAUGCCGCGUGUAUGAAGAAGGCCUUCGGGUUGUAAAGUACUUUCAGCGG